CCAAAACAUAGCUCAGCCUGAGUGGAUUCAGGCUCACAGCUUUCAUGUCACACCUUCAGGCUCCAUGAGGUGGCUGGAAAGUGCACGAGCACAAUCAGUGGAUGCAUUACUCAUACACAGCCCUUGCAUGCAGAAAUAGGUCACAAUUACUCUUUGAAAACAUACUAGCAGGACAAAACCUCAAGGUUAAAACCUUAACACAGUCUGCAUGUGACCAGGAUUCCUCUCCUAAAGCUUCUCCUAAAGUUCAGAUCAAGAUAUUCUACUCCAAGAGGGCAGCUGAACCAACAGGUACAGUCCUUUUUUGGGCUAAAACUUUGUCAAUAUGGCAAAACUUUCAAUGUUAAUGAAAGAUCAUCAGAGCAAAAUUUUGUAAUCUGGCAGAUAUGUAGAGUAUUUUGAAAUACUGCUUUUCAGUUCUUGCUUCCAGUAUUGAUA